rnacentral:miRNA from 1 species
AUGACAAUUUAAUGGAAAGA